AAAAGCAAAGUGUAUUAAACAUUAAGGACAAUAUGUAUCACAAGAAGUCUACUGUUCAAUAAGAGACUGAAAUUAAUCAAGUAAGCACACAAACCUCUACUGGGAUAAAAUCUGGGAUCCAAGUGCCAGGAAGCAGACAGAAGAGCAAUUUGACCAAGUCACAGGGUCAGGUGAGACCUCUAAGAGGAAAUAAUGACUGAGCUGAAUUGAAAAGGAAUUCCAGAGCUGAAGCAGGCAGAUUUUGUAAGCCGAGGAAAUGGAUACCAUGGUUGUUUGUAAAAUCAGAUUCAAACAAAGGGAGAGAACAAGGAUGCUUUCCUGUAGCAUGGACACCCGCAGCGAACUGGAGAAAAAUGAUGAGGUUGCAGAAGAAGGGUAUUGACAUAUUCUACCAUAAAUUUUCACUGCUCAUGAUCUGCAGGAUAAUCCCAUAUGUGUAAUAAACACAUUACAAUGGAAAUUUGAGUACAGAGAGAAGACACUGCAGGAAGAUGAUGAAGAAUGGCUUACAGAUGGCUAACAAGCUGGAAACAAAAGUCAGGUGACUCACAGUAAAACUAGAGGCUAUGCCCAUGAAGUCUCACUAACAUGACUGCGAAAACAUGAGGUGAACAAGGACAACACCAAUGGACAUACUAAAGUGGAUAGAAAAAAAGCCCACAAGGCAUCUACCUACACAAUGACCAAGUGAUGGAAGUUGGGAGCAGAAGAGGUGGUCUUGUCCAGGGAAGCACACACCAACUGGUUGUCCAGUGAUAAGUGGAGUGGCUUUCAGAAUACCCUUGUUAUCCACUGCCCUGUCUCAUUUGGAAUCGUAACACAAAGGUAAAAGUCUGGAGGUCAUCUCUUAAUGCAAAGGUUACCUCAAGGACAGUCUUAGCUUUACUGAUCUUGCACUCCGUACAAUGCAAUGUUUCAAACAUAGGUGUGAUAUACCAGCUGUUUGAAGGCCAAGUCAAGAAAACCACAGAAAGAUUAAGAAUAACCUGGGCUUCAUACUCCAUCUCUGAAAACUACAAAUACAAAAAUUAAAAUAAAGUAGAAAUAAUUACGAUGUGUACUACUUAAAUUGGUAAUUUGUAUGCUUGUUAUUUUAAAAAGCAAUAAUUUUAUUUUGAAAAUUCACUGGGAAUAGUCUAUCUCCUUUAAAUUAAAGCUGAUUUUUAAUAUUGCUUUGUAAUAUUUUGCAUCCUUAAGAUUUUUGAAAGCUUAGGUCAAGACUGAAAUCCCACAUUUAUUACUCUGGGCAUUAGGCAGUACUUACUCCUGCAAACAUAGCUAUCUUUCCCAUAGUACAUGACUGUUACGAUAUUUCCCCUUUUAGAAUAGGGAAAAUGGAAGUGUACAAUCCAUAUCGAGCUCUUUGAAUAGCCAUCUGUGAAACAAAGUGAAGGAGAACAGGUGCCUGAGGAGACAGUUUCUGAUCAUCACAUCUGAGACUAAAAUAUUUCACUCUGUGAAAUCAGUGACCUUUGAAAUGAGCAGGUAUGUUUCAUCACUCCUGUUCCUGAACCACAGGUUAGGAUACAGUUUGAAUGGUUUGUUUUAGUUUGCUUUUCUAUUGUGAUAAAACAUCAGCACCAAAAGCAACUUUGGGAGGAAAGGGUUUUUUUUGGCUUACACUUCCAGAUUAUAGUCCAACGCUGAGGGAAGCUGAGGUAUGUAGUCAAGCAGGCCAAGAAUCUAGAGACGGGAACUGAGGCAGGAAAUGUGGCUUAAUGGUUUACUACCAUGCCUGGCUAAGCCUGAUUUUUUAUAUACCCUGGGGGUAUAUAAAAAAAUGUUCCCAUGUGCCCAUCCACAGUGAGUUGGGCCCUACUGCAUCAGUCAUUAAUCAAGAAAAUGUCCCAUAGAGUUGCCUAUAGGCCAAUAUGAAAAUUUCCCUCUUUCCAAAUUACUCCUGCUUGUUUCAAGCUGACAAACAACUAAUCAGGGAAACUGAUCUCUUGUCAGCUUCAUAUACCCAAGCAUUACUACUUGUGGUGGUUUGAGUGAGAACAGCUCCUGUAGGCUCACAUGCUUGAAUUGCUGGUCCCCAGUUAGUGGAACUGUUUGGGAAGCCAUAGGAAGUUUGGCCUUGUUAGAGGAGGUGUGGGACUCGAGGUUUCAAAAGCUUACUUCAAUCCCUGUGUCUCUGCCUGCUGCCUGCAGAUCAAGGUGUAAAUCUCUCAGCCACUGCCCCAGUACUAUGCUGGCCCUCCAUGACGAUCAUGGACUAACUCUCCAAAACUGUGAGCAAACCCCAAACCAAAUGCUUUCUUCCAUAAGUGUUGCCUUGGUCAUGGUGUCUCUUCAUAGCAGUAGAACAUAAAGCAAGACACAAUUAAACUAUAAGAUUUCCCUUCUUGUUUGUUCCUCCAAAUCUAUUAAUACCAAUGUCACAACAUAAAACACAAAUAACUUUAAAAGUUGUAAUUUAAAAUUAUAUUUCUUAAAAGUCCAAGUUCUCUUUAAAUACCCAGUGUCACUUAAAAAUCUAAAGUCUCCCUAUGACUUUCUUACUCCAAGAGGGAAGAAGCAGGACACAGUCACAAUCAAUUCAAAGCAAAAGCAAAUUCUGUAAGUGCCUGUGGUUACUUACCGGGCCAAGAUCAUCUGAUAUGGCCACGAGAAAUGAAACCAGGCUGGUUGGAGGGUCCACAGCAAAACAUAAGUUGCAGCAAUUUUAUUAAGAGCAAUAAGAGUUUUUAUGUUUAUCAGAAACAGAACAUGAUGGCAAUUGCCAGGAUCAAUACAGUUGUAGCUGCCAGGAUGCAAUGAAGUUUGCAAGAUGUACAGGGUACACAAGAUUAAUGUCUAAGACCAAUUUUCCUGUCAAGCUUCCAUGCUUCCUUGACUACUAAGGGAUCAUACAGAGAAACACAGAGUGGUUUGAACAUUUCACUGCCUGAAGGAGUUCAUCAGGCUCUCCGGAACUAGAAGUCCCUCUAACCAAAAGACCCAUGACACAUGCCUCUCUAGGCAGCUAGGCUAGGCCAACUCCAUGGUUCCCUGCAAUAUUCAACAGUGUAAAAUGUUCAGUGCUUGAUGUCUGGGACCUACUCACAAUCUUCUGGCCUCUAAGGGGCCUGGGCAGCCCCUGUUUCUGCCAUCUGUAACGAACAUGGUGCCUGCCUCAUGGGUUCCAGCUGGCUCUACUCCACAGCUCUUGCUAUCCUUGGCUGUUGUCCUAUAGUCAUGGAAUCUUGAAUAUUCUUCAGUCUCCAUAGGCUGCAUAUUCACCAAUGACCUCUGGGUUUUUCUUUAGAGACUCUGACCUUUCCAUAUGAUGUCAAGCCUCAGUCUUUUUUCCAUGACCACUUAAACCCUGCAGUCUCCAUUGCAAAUGAGGCUGCGCCUUCAUCCCUGGCUUCUCACAGUGCCAAUACCCAGCUGAUCUCCAUGUUGUCUUUAUACCUUCAAAACCAGAACCACCUGGGGGACUCUUACACAUUACCAAGUUCAGUUGCCAGAAAGGGAAGUUAGCACUGGCCCUCCUGGAGCACAACUUCUGUUUGCUGAACCAUAGGAAAUACCCCCAGAAGAUUUCACCUACAUAAUGCUCAUCUCCUCUUACUCACAGCAGAUUUUCCAAAACUAGCUGAACAUCAUCAAUUAUCCCAAUAAAGCAAAAGUUUCAUUCUGUGGUGCUGUUCUCCUAUUAGUAACAACUGAUUAUUCAAACUCAGCUUCCCAGAACCACAUGUACUUAAUUCAAAAUAUCACAUAAACACCUCUAAUAGAGUCUUUCCUCUCCUUGAAACUUUACAAGACCUCCAUCAUCUGCAACACUUUCAGCAGUUCUAUCUCCCAACUUUCCAUAAUAUCCCAUUAAGUUCUGAACACUCAAUGGUGUUUCUGGCCCAAAGUUCCAAAAUCUUACACAACCUUUCCCCCAAAACAGUGACAAGGAAGGUCUGUCACAGAAAUACUCUGUGAUCCUGGGACAAAUUUCUAUCUUAGUUUACUUUUCUAUUGAUAUGAUAAAAACAAAAACAAAAACAAAACAAACAAAUCAACUUGAAGAGAAAAGGGUUUAUUUUCCUCCACUUCUACAUCAUAGCCCAUCACGAGGGAAGCCAAGGUGAAAACUCAAGCAGUCCAGGAACUGUCACGAAGGAGUGCAUUUUAUUGGUUUGCUCAGCCUGCUUUUCUAUACAACCUAGGACCACCUACUCAGGGUUGGUACUGCCCACAGUAAGCUGAGCUCUCAAACAACAAUCAUUAAGCAAGAGAAAUGUUAGAGGGGCGUACAGGGUAAUCUGAUGGAAGCAUUUCCUUAAUCGAAGUUCUCUCUUUCCAAAUGACUUAAGCUUGUGUCAAGUGGACAAAAACUCACUAACCGGGACAGUUCCUAAUUGAUGACUUCAGUUUCUAUGUAUUAUGGAAUUUUAAAAAACCAACUAGACACAAAAGACUUGCAAGAGAUAAUAAACUAAGGAAACCUAAUUAUCAGUACUGGAAAGCAAGUAGAAGGAAUUCUAAUUGUGACUUUUUUUGUCUAAUUUUUUUCCAAUUAAAAACUGUUAUGAAUGUGUUCCUUCAUGUUAGAACAGAGGAAUGCUUUCAGUUACUGUUCUUUUCAUUCACUUUUUCUGACUUCAUCUGAUUGAUAUUUUCUUGCUUGAAUGGAUAAAUCUAAUGACAAUGAAAAAGUUUAUGAUUUUGUUUUCAUUUUUGUCAGGUUUGUAAAUGUAUUCUAUUAUUACAUUCAAAUGAUGACAUUUUCCUAUCUAAUGAAGCAGACUUAUAUCUUUACUUUUAAAAAAAUCCAAAAUGUGUCCUUGAAUGCAGCCCACCAAGAAUUUUUCAUGGGUUUUGUAUGAUGAAUAUAUUUAUAUUUCAUUUUUGACUAAGUAAAGCCAUUUGAAAAAAGUUAAACU